rnacentral:rRNA from 1 species
CUUGCUUCUCUGAUGUUAGCGGCGGACGGGUGAGUAACACGUGGAUAACCUACCUAUAAGACUGGGAUAACUUCGGGAAACCGGAGCUAAUACCGGAUAAUAUUUUGAACCGCAUGGUUCAAAAGUGAAAGACGGUCUUGCUGUCACUUAUAGAUGGAUCCGCGCUGCAUUAGCUAGUUGGUAAGGUAACGGCUUACCAAGGCAACGAUGCAUAGCCGACCUGAGAGGGUGAUCGGCCACACUGGAACUGAGACACGGUCCAGACUCCUACGGGAGGCAGCAGUAGGGAAUCUUCCGCAAUGGGCGAAAGCCUGACGGAGCAACGCCGCGUGAGUGAUGAAGGUCUUCGGAUCGUAAAACUCUGUUAUUAGGGAAGAACAUAUGUGUAAGUAACUGUGCACAUCUUGACGGUACCUAAUCAGAAAGCCACGGCUAACUACGUGCCAGCAGCCGCGGUAAUACGUAGGUGGCAAGCGUUAUCCGGAAUUAUUGGGCGUAAAGCGCGCGUAGGCGGUUUUUUAAGUCUGAUGUGAAAGCCCACGGCUCAACCGUGGAGGGUCAUUGGAAACUGGAAAACUUGAGUGCAGAAGAGGAAAGUGGAAUUCCAUGUGUAGCGGUGAAAUGCGCAGAGAUAUGGAGGAACACCAGUGGCGAAGGCGACUUUCUGGUCUGUAACUGACGCUGAUGUGCGAAAGCGUGGGGAUCAAACAGGAUUAGAUACCUGGUAGUCCACGCCGUAAACGAUGAGUGCUAAGUGUUAGGGGGUUUCCGCCCCUUAGUGC